rnacentral:rRNA from 1 species
CUCCCGCCUGGGGAGUACGGUCGCAAGAUUAAAACUUAAAGGAAUUGACGGACUCCUACGGGAGGCAGCAGUGGGGAAUUUUGCGCAAUGGGGGAAACCCUGACGCAGCAACGCCGCGUGGAGGAUGAAGUCCCUUGGGAUGUAAACUCCUUUCGAUCGGGACGAUUAUGACGGUACCGGAAGAAGAAGCACCGGCUAACUCUGUGCCAGCAGCCGCGGUAAUACAGAGGGUGCAAGCGUUGUUCGGAAUUAUUGGGCGUAAAGGGCGCGUAGGCGGUGCGGUAAGUCUGUAGUGAAAUCUCUGGGCUCAACUCAGAGUCUGCUGCAGAAACUGCCGUGCUUGAGUGUGGGAGAGGUGAGUGGAAUUCCCAGUGUAGAGGUGAAAUUCGUAGAUAUUGGGAAGAACACCGGUGGCGAAGGCGGCUCACUGGCUCAUUACUGACGCUCAGGCGCGACAGCGUGGGGAUCAAACAGGAUUAGAUACCCUGGUAGUCCACGCCGUAAACGAUGAAUGCUAGCCGUUGGGCAGCUUGCUGUUCAGUGGCGCAGCUAACGCAUUAAGCAUUCCGCCUGGGGAGUACGGCCGCAAGGUUGAAACUUAAAGGAAUUGACG